rnacentral:rRNA from 1 species
UACGUAGGUGGCGAGCGUUGUCCGGAUUUACUGGGUGUAAAGGGCGUGUAGACGGGUAAAUAAGUCAGGUGUGAAAUGCCGAAGCUCAACUUCGGAACUGCAUUUGAAACUAUUUAUCUUGAGUGUGGGAGAGGAAAGCGGAAUUCCUAGUGUAGCGGUGAAAUGCGUAGAUAUUAGGAGGAACACCAGUGGCGAAGGCGGCUUUCUGGACCAUAACUGACGUUGAGGCGCGAAAGCGUGGGGAGCAAACAGGAUUAGAUACCCUGGUAGUCCACGCUGUAAACGAUGGAUACUAGGUGUGGGGGGUAUCGACCCCCUCCGUGCCGGAGUUAACACAAUAAGUAUCCCACCUGGGGAGUACGACCGCAAGGUUGAAACUCAAAGGAAUUGACGGGGGCCCGCACAAGCAGUGGAGUAUGUGGUUUAAUUCGAAGCAACGCGAAGAACCUUACCAAAACUUGACAUACCUUGAAUUACCUUUAAUCGGGGAAGCCUUCGGGCAAGGAUACAGGUGGUGCAUGGUUGUCGUCAGCUCGUGUCGUGAGAUGUUGGGUUAAGUCCCGCAACGAGCGCAACCCUUGUUGUUAGUUGCCAUCAUUAAGUUGGGCACUCUAACGAGACUGCCGGUGACAAAUCGGAGGAAGGUGGGGAUGACGUCAAAUCAUCAUGCCCCUUAUGUUUUGGGCUACACACGUACUACAAUGGCCGGUAACAAAGCGAAGCUAAGUCGCGAGGCGGAGCAAAUCGCAAAACCCGGUCCCAGUUCAGAUUGCAGGCUGCAACUCGCCUGCAUGAAGUCGGAAUUGCUAGUAAUCGCGGAUCAGAAUGCCGCGGUGAAUACGUUCCCGGGCCUUGUACACACCGCCCGUCACACCAUGAGAGUUGGCAACACCCGAAGCCUGUGAGCUAACCGUAAGGGAGCAGCAGUCGAAGGUGGGGUUAAUGAUUAGGGUA